CUAGAGACGGCCACUAGAGUGCUCUGCGAACUGUUUACACUGUCAACUAAUGUAGAGCGGUACAGACGGUACUAGGUUUUAGAUUACGUCUAGCCCAUAUGUGUGGCGGCCAAGGACGAUAGAGUUGCCACUGUACACAGACGGGAGCAUUACAGGAUAGGGAGAUCCUGAGCACUUCACGCCUCUGAAGAAUGUAUUCGAUUGAAGUUGACUGCGCUAUUGGUUGUACCAGCAGACAUGAAAUAAACGAGGAAGAUAGAUUCGUUUGGAUUCAUGUUCCAACGCUUGCAGUGCUUGGACGAAGAAGACCUCUGAAUCGGUCUGUACCUGGUGAUGAAGAGAAAAGUAGCCGCCAGGAAUCGAAUCCCAGCCGCCCAUUCCAUUUUUGUGACAGUGGCAACGCUUCUGCUUCGUAUGCGGAUGUAAGAGGUUCGAUGCCCGUGACAGUGCAUCCAGAUGGACUGUUUUCAUGAGCAGCAUGGUCAUUCCAUGAAUCUACGGAACCAAGCACUAAGGACGCUGGAACGGGAACUAAAAAUGGAAAACUUACUGUGAUAAAGACACUAUUUGCCCAAGUAUAUGUACAUAUUUAAUAUAAGAAGGGUGUGUACAUUUAUUUUAACUGCUAAUAAAUCUAGCACUUGUUUAAAAAUUGUUGGUGUAAGUUGCAGGCACAUGCGAAGAACAGACAAAAGAAAGACGAAAGAAAUGCAAGGUAAAUUAAAUAAGAGAAAAUAAAAAUAAGUUGAAAGACAAAUUCAACUGGCUUUUUCAUCUUACUACGAGGAAGUAACAGUUAAAUAGGUUUUCAGUGUUUGGCAGUCAGGUGCGCGCAGUGAUCCGACGUGCCACUUUGAGGACUUACAAGAACUUCAGCACAAGACGGAGGAAAGGAUUGAGUGAGCGACGGAUGAGCAUAAAACGUUAUUACGAUAGGAAUUCCCCUUCUCUGAAGGCUUUAAGAAGUUGAUCCCUCUGCAGGAUCAGUAAUUCAUCAAAGUAUAGUCGUUACUGAAAACAUUGAUCCACGCGCCGCCUCUCCUUGGUAUAGAUACAGGAAAACAACAUGGCGUGCGAGCGACCGUUACAAGCGGCUCGUUAUGGCCACAGCCGUGACGUCAAACAAGAAUGUGUAUCCAUUGACACCGCAGCUGAAGUCACCUCGCGCAGCGUAGAGUUAGUUCGAAUUCAUGGUUUAUGUAAUUCGUGUGGUUGCGUUGUGACUCUGUGGUGGGUUAUGCGAAAAUAAUAAACCGCGUUAUAAAUGUCUAAGUAAGAAAAAGUAUCUGCAAUUUUAGUGCGUGUGAGCGCUUGUGUGUAUGUGCAUGUGAGUUCCAUUUAUAAAAUUGAAAAAAAUUAACUUAUCGGAGUAAUAUUUUCCUUGCAAAAUUUGAAAGACCAUUUGCCAGUAAUGGUAGCAAUUCAUUUCUGCUGCUCUGUUUCCCCCUUCGUAUUCCACCUGCAAAACUAAACGCUCGAUCCGUAUAGGCUUAGCUUUAGUUGAUAUCAAUAACUGAACUUGUGAUGGUGACAUCUUUCAGGAUUGGAAGGAAUCAGGAAUUGUGAUAAUAUUUGCACAACACACACCUGGCCAAUGUUAUAUAACCACAACCGCCUAAAAGUAUUACUUAAAUAACAUUACCAUUGUGUGCCCUGUCUGGAUUUGCAGAUUAGCCAUUCUCUGCUGAAAACGACAAAUAACGUUAAGUAAUGCCAUUUUCUUCUGGUUCAGAUAUGUCACAGUUUGUGGCACUUCAGUAACUGAAAUAGUUACCAUUAUAACAACAUGGAAUACCAAAAUCAAAACAGUUUCUUCCAAGAAAAAUUAUUCUAAGUGAAUUUUAAUCAGUUAAAAAGACAGAACGAAACAGACAAUCUAGAAUGUACAGUUUCUAUACGUGCCGUUCGAAGCGCUGGCGCUGCGGUAAGCCGCCAUUUCUGCAGAUUUCUGUCCGGGUCACAGUCUAGCGAUAUUAAUAAACUCUUGUUGAGUACUUAAAUAACAGCCAUUACUGUAGUAGCCGUUUCCAAAUCGAAUGCUCUAAGUCCACGCGCUGCUCUAAUCAAACAGUAAUAAGCUGCUAUUUCUCCUACGCUGCGAGAUCUUAGCUGUCAGCUGUCUUUAAUCGCCUGGUCUACGCUGUGUUGCAACGUUGUGCGAUUUUUCUGUGACCUUGAAUGAUGCAAUUUGAUGACGAGUACAGUCUAGUACAGGGCAGAAUGCGAUAAUAAAAAUUCGUAAGACAUAUUUUU